GAUCCUGACUCAGGAUGAACGCUAGCGACAGGCUUAACACAUGCAAGUCGAGGGGCAGCACAGGUAGCAAUACCGGGUGGCGACCGGCGCACGGGUGAGUAACGCGUAUGCAACUUACCUAUCAGAGGGGGAUAACCCGGCGAAAGUCGGACUAAUACCGCAUGAAGCAGGGGUCCCGCAUGGGGAUAUUUGCUAAAGAUUCAUCGCUGAUAGAUAGGCAUGCGUUCCAUUAGG
rnacentral:rRNA from 1 species